rnacentral:misc_RNA from 1 species
AACGCACCUUGCACCCUUUGGUAUUCCGAAGAGUAUGUCUGUUUGAGUGUCAUGAAACUCUCAACCCCCUUGUUUUGUAAUGAGACAAGUGCGGGCUUGGAUUAUGGCUGCUGUCGGCGUAAAGUCGGCUCAGCUGAAAUAUACGAGCAACCCAUUUGAAAUAGACGGCUUGACUCGGCGUAAUAAUUAUUUCGCUGAGGACGUCUUCUUCAAACGUUAGUGGUGCUUCUAGUGCAAUCAUUUAAGCUUUAGACCUCAAACCAGUCAGGACUACCCGCUGAACUUAA